rnacentral:rRNA from 1 species
UAUUACGAGCAUCAGCUUAAAACCCAAAGGACUUGACGGUGUCCCACCCAACUAGAGGAGCCUGUUCUAUAAUCGAUAACCCCCGAUAUACCCUACCCCCCCCUCGCCAAUCAGCCUGUAUACCUCCGUCGCAAACUUACCAUAUGAAUGCCAAUAGUAAGUUAAAUAGUUCAUAACAAACACGUCAGGUCAAGGUGCAGCUCAUGAUGGGGAAAGCAAUGGGCUACAAUUUCUAAAAUAGAACAUACGAAAUGCUGCAUGAAACACAGCCACGAAGGCGGAUUUAGUAGUAAAAAGCGAUCAUAGAGCCCUUUUUAAUAAGGCCCUGGGACGUGUACACACCGCCCGUCACCCUCUUCAACAGCACACAACAUGUUUUUAACAACUAUCGCACCUCAGAAGAGGCAAGUCGUAACAUGGUAAGUGUACCGGAAGGUGCACUUGGAUCAA